rnacentral:rRNA from 1 species
GACGAACGCUGGCGGCGUGCUUAACACAUACAAGUCGAACGGAAAGGCGCUGCUCUUGUGGCGUGCUCGUGUGCCGCACGGGGGAGUAACACGUGAGUAACCUGCCCCUGACUUUGUGAUAUCUCUACGAAACUGGGGCUAUAACCGCAUAGGAGCUCAUGCUCCAUAGGGGUGGUUGGAAAGUUUCGGCGUUUGUGGCUGGGUUGGCGGCUUAUGAGCUUGUUGGUGGGGUAGUGGCUUACAAAGGCUUUGACGGGUAGCCGGCCUGGGAGGGUGACCGGCGACAAUGGGACGGAGGGAGGGCGCAGAAGGCUACGGGAGGCAGCAGUGGGGAAUAUUGCACAGUAAGCGGAAGCCUGAUGCAGCAGCGCCGCGUGCGGGAUGACGGCCUUCGAGUUGUAAACAGCUGUCGACUGAGACGAAGCGUGAGUGACGGUAAUGGGUAAAGAAGCACCGGCUAACUACGUG